rnacentral:rRNA from 1 species
GCUUGUCUCAAAGAUUAAGCCAUGCAUGUCUAAGUGUAAAUACGUCUACACUGUGAAACUGCGAAUGGCUCAUUAAAUCAGUUAUCGUUUAUUUGAUGAUCUCUCGUUACAUGGAUAACCGUAGUAAUUCUAGAGCUAAUACAUGCGUCAAGCCCCGACUCACGAAGGGGUGUAUUUAUUAGAUACAAUCAAACGCACCAACAUAAAACCUUGGUGAUUCAUAAUAACUGUUCGGAUCGUAUGGCUUUUUGCCGACGACAGAUCAUUCAAAUUUCUGCCCUAUCAGCUUUCGACGGUACUGUAGUGGACUACCGUGGCAUUAACGGGUGACGGAGAAUUAGGGUUCGAUUCCGGAGAGGGAGCCUGAGAAAUGGCUACCACAUCCAAGGAAGGCAGCAGG